rnacentral:rRNA from 1 species
UUAGUGUUCGAUUCCGGAGAGUGAGCCUGAGAAGCUGCUACCACAUCUAAGGAAGGCAGCAGGCGCGCAAAUUCCCCAAUCCUGACACAGGGAGGUAGUGACAAUAAAUAACAAUGUACGGACUUUUACAAGUCGCGUCAUCUGGAAUGAGAACAAUUUAAAUCCCUUAUCGAGGAUCAAUUGGAGGGCAAGUCUGGUGCCAGCAGCCGCGGUAAUUCCAGCUCCAAUAGCGUAUAUUAAAGUUGUUGCAGUUAAAAAGCUCGU